rfam:Bombyx mori DNA, contig: Bm_scaf61_contig29007, strain: p50T/Dazao, build 2, whole genome shotgun sequence.
UUACCUCAAAUUUGUAUGCAGUUGGAACAACGCCACUACGUUUGCCGCUAGGGGCGCUGUUCCAACUGCAUACAAGUUUGAGUUA